GCAUAUCAAUAAGCGGAGGAAAAGAAACCAACAGGGAUUGCCCCUAGUAACGGCGAGUGAAGCGGCAACAGCUCAAAUUUGAAAUCUGGCUCUCGGGCCCGAGUUGUAAUUUGUAGAGGAUGCUUUUGGUGCGGUGCCUUCCGAGUUCCCUGGAACGGGACGCCAUAGAGGGUGAGAGCCCCGUCUGGUUGGAUGCCAAUCCUCUGUAAAGCUCCUUCGACGAGUCGAGUAGUUUGGGAAUGCUGCUCUAAAUGGGAGGUAUAUGUCUUCUAAAGCUAAAUACCGGCCAGAGACCGAUAGCGCACAAGUAGAGUGAUCGAAAGAUGAAAAGAACUUUGAAAAGAGAGUUAAAAAGUACGUGAAAUUGUUGAAAGGGAAGCGCUUGUGACCAGACUUGGGCUUGGUUGAUCAUCCAGGGUUCUCCCUGGUGCACUCUUCCGGCUCAGGCCAGCAUCAGUUUGCCUCGGGGGAUAAAGGCUUCGGGAAUGUGGCUCUCUCCGGGGAGUGUUAUAGCCCGCUGCGUAAUACCCUGUGGCGGACUGAGGUUCGCGCAUUCGCAAGGAUGCUGGCGUAAUGGUCAUCAGUGACCCGUCUUGAAACACGGACCAAGGAGUCGUCUUCGUAUGCGAGUGUUCGGGUGUCAAACCCCUACGCGAAAUGAAAGUGAACGCAGGUGAGAGCUUCGGCGCAUCAUCGACCGAUCCUGAUGUUCUCGGAUGGAUUUGAGUAAGAGCAUACGGAGCCGGACCCGAAAGAAGGUGAACUAUGCCUGUGUAGGGUGAAGCCAGAGGAAACUCUGGUGGAGGCUCGCAGCGGUUCUGACGUGCAAAUCGAUCGUCAAACAUGGGCAUGGGGGGCGAAAGACUAAUCGAACCUUCUAGUAGCUGGUUUCCGCCGAAGUU
rnacentral:rRNA from 1 species